CAACAUGCUUGCUAUUUAUAGGGAAUUGCCUUGGGGAAACUAGCUCCAAAGAGGAGGAUAGAUUGCUCCGAGGAAAACUGGAUAUGAGUGAAUGGGGACUCUUCAAAGCAUCCAUUUUGCUAAAUCUGCUCCCAACAAUCAAAGCCAGCCUGCUAAUUUGAAAUUAGAGAGAAUGUGGAUGGAUUUUCAACUUCUCUCAGAAUACAGGGGAAGGACCAUCUGUUAGGAUUAACUGGGUAUGUAAAUCCCUUUUGACUCAUCUUCUCUGACAACGGGGGUGGAAGAGUAACUGGUCCACCACAGCAUUCUCUGGAUUCCCAGUAAGAAAUAGACUUUCCCUCUGAGAAGUCCAUCAGUUAAUAUUAACAAGGAGAAAGAGAAAGAACCACUCAGCAGGAAGCUCUGAAUUUUCCCAAGUCAAGAGAUCAUCAAGGAAGGAGUCUGGCUGUAAAGUACACCUCUCUUCCUCUGAUGAGAGUGACAACUGGGGUGACUGGAAUCAGAGGGCAGCCUGCCCUCCUUUGGCAAACAAACACCCACUCUGGUAAGUGCCUUUUAAUGUGCAUCAAGUCUGUGUCUAGGAAAAGGAUGCACAGUUGGCAAGUACAGAGCUGUAAGGGGAUCGCUUUGACAUGCUGAUAAAGCUUCUUGGUUUACUUUGGACUUGGCUUUAUCAUUUACUGAAGGAUAUUAUUAGUGUGGAGAACGAUAGCUGUUUUCUGACUUCUCGAACAAAAGCCGGUGAAAUGUAUAGGAACAAAAGGUCUGUUAUGGAGAAUCCUACCCUGUUUGUUCAGUGACUUUGGGAUCCUAAUCAUACAACUUAACCGAGAUAAGACCUGGAGCAGAGGAAAAGAGCCCACCCAGCUGGGGGGCCCCCAGGAAAACGAAUGAAAAUCGGUUGUGUUAAAAAUGGAAGAUCAUCCAACUCUCAGCAUGUGUGUAGUUUUCCUUAUUGUAAAUAUGGUAUUACAAAAAUAGAUUUGCUCUUUGGAGCCAGAUGGCACGCAAUACGUCUGAAGUUAAAUCCAGCCUUAUGACAAUGGUCAUGGCCAACAAGGAACCACUUGGACUGUGAUGCCAAACUUUCAGUUCUCUGCGAGUCCUCUCCAUCAAGUAAACACUUCUGAACCUCUUUGAGUACAAGGAACUUGCCUCUUGACCACCAUGUGACUGCUGUUUUGGUGGGGUAAUUUUUUGUUUGUUUUGUGUUUGUGUUUCAUCUGCCUCAUUCUCGUUUGAGAAUAAAAUAGUCAAUAACGCAUAAA